rnacentral:rRNA from 1 species
UACGGGGGGGGCAAGCGUUGUUCGGAAUUACUGGGCGUAAAGGGUGCGUAGGUGGUCCGUUAAGUCAGUUGUGAAAUCCCCGGGCUCAACCCGGGAACUGCUUCUGAUACUGGCGGACUUGAGGCCAGUAGAGGUCACUGGAACUGACGGUGGAGCGGUGAAAUGCGUAGAGAUCGAGCGGAACACCAGUGGCGAAGGCGAGUUCCUGGACAAGACCUGACGCUGAGGCACGAAAGCCAGGGGAGCAAACAGG